GAUGAACGCUAGCGGCGUGCCUAAUGCAUGCAAGUCGAACGGGAUCCUUUGGAUUAGUCUAAAGGUGAGAGUGGCGAACGGGUGAGUAACACGUUGGUGACCUGCCCCAGAGGGGGGGAUAACCAUUGGAAACGAUGGCUAAUACCCCGGAUGUCCCUACUGUUAGAGAGUAGUGACUAAAGCUCCGGCGCUCUGGGAGGGGCCUGCGGCCCAUCAGCUAGUUGGUAGGGUAACGGCCUACCAAGGCAAAGACGGGUAGGGGGCGUGAGAGCGUGACCCCCCACACUGGUACUGACACACGGACCAGAUACCUACGGGUAGCAGCAGCAAGGAAUAUUGCCCAAUGGACGCAAGUCUGAGGCAGCAACGCCGCGUGGAGGAUGAAGGCCUUCGGGUUGUAAACUCCUUUUCUGGGGGAAGAGAUAGGACGGUACCCCAGGAAUAAGUCUCGGCUAACUACGUG
rnacentral:rRNA from 1 species